UGGGGAAUGUUGCACAAUGGGCGCAAGCCUGAUGCAGCCAUGCCGCGUGUAUGAAGAAGGCCUUCGGGUUGUAAAGUACUUUCAGCGGGGAGGAAGGGAGUAAAGUUAAUACCUUUGCUCAUUGACGUUACCCGCAGAAGAAGCACCGGCUAACUCCGUGCCAGCAGCCGCGGUAAUACGGAGGGUGCAAGCGUUAAUCGGAAUUACUGGACGUAAAGCGCACGCAGGCGGUUUGUUAAGUCAGAUGUGAAAUCCCCGGGCUCAACCUGGGAACUGCAUCUGAUACUGGCAAGCUUGAGUCUCGUAGAGGGGGGUAGAAUUCCAGGUGUAGCGGUGAAAUGCGUAGAGAUCUGGAGGAAUACCGGUGGCGAAGGCGGCCCCCUGGACGAAGACUGACGCUCAGGUGCGAAAGCGUGGGGAGCAAACAGG
rnacentral:rRNA from 1 species